ACACUCCUACGGGAGGCAGCAGUGGGGAAUUUUGGACAAUGGGCGAAAGCCUGAUCCAGCAAUGCCGCGUGAGUGAAGAAGGCCUUCGGGUUGUAAAGCUCUUUUGUCAGGGAAGAAACGGUGAGAGCUAAUAUCUUUUGCUAAUGACGGUACCUGAAGAAUAAGCACCGGCUAACUACGUGCCAGCAGCCGCGGUAAUACGUAGGGUGCAAGCGUUAAUCGGAAUUACUGGGCGUAAAGCGUGCGCAGGCGGUUUUGUAAGUCUGAUGUGAAAUCCCCGGGCUCAACCUGGGAAUUGCAUUGGAGACUGCAAGGCUAGAAUCUGGCAGAGGGGGGUAGAAUUCCACGUGUAGCAGUGAAAUGCGUAGAUAUGUGGAGGAACACCGAUGGCGAAGGCAGCCCCCUGGGUCAAGAUUGACGCUCAUGCACGAAAGCGUGGGGAGCAAACAGGAUUAGAUACCCGUGUAGUCCCAU
rnacentral:rRNA from 1 species